AAUAUACAUAUGAAGACGCAAGAGGAUUUGAUGGUUUCUGUUAUGAUUAUAGUGAAAACGUAGACGAUGAAGCCAAAGAAGAUGAAGCAAAGUACGAAUCAGAGGAUGAAGAAGAAGAUGACGAGUUUUCAACCCGAUUUGACGUAUUCGACGACUCCGAUGGUGCGUCAUCUGACGAUGAUAACUUUACUAUAUACGGCGAGCGUGAGGAGAAAGAUGAAGAUUUACCGGCUGCUACUCAAAACAGAGGUCAUUACUUUGGCAAAGUAGGAUCGAUUGGGAACUCGGAGUCUUUAACGGUGGAGAUGGCUAAGCUAAACCUCGUCGUAGGACAACGAUACGCGA
rnacentral:lncRNA from 1 species